GAUGAACGCUGGCGGCGUGCUUAACACAUGCAAGUCGAGCGAGUGAGUUCUUCGGAACAAUCUAGCGGCGGACGGGUGAGUAACACGUGGGCAACCUGCCUCAUAGAGGGGAAUAGCCUCCCGAAAGGGAGAUUAAUACCGCAUAAAAUUAUCGAGUGGCAUCACAUGAUAAUCAAAGGAGUAAUCCGCUAUGAGAUGGGCCCGCGGCGCAUUAGCUAGUUGGUGAGGUAACGGCUCACCAAGGCGACGAUGCGUAGCCGACCUGAGAGGGUGAUCGGCCACAUUGGGACUGAGACACGGCCCAGACUCCUACGGGAGGCAGCAGUGGGGAAUAUUGCACAAUGGGGGAAACCCUGAUGCAGCAACGCCGCGUGAGUGAUGAAGGUCUUCGGAUUGUAAAGCUCUGUCUUUGGGGACGAUAAUGACGGUACCCAAGGAGGAAGCCACGGCUAACUACGUGCCAGCCGCCGCCGAUA
rnacentral:rRNA from 1 species